rnacentral:rRNA from 1 species
GUCCACGCCGUAAACGAUGAAUACUAGGUGUUGGGGGUCGAACCUCGGUGCCGCAGUUAACACAAUAAGUAUUCCGCCUGGGGAGUACGAUCGCAAGAUUAAAACUCAAAGGAAUUGACGGGGCCCGCACAAGCAGCGGAGCAUGUGGUUUAAUUCGAAGCAACGCGAAGAACCUUACCUAGACUUGACAUCCCCUGCAUAACCCAGAGAUGGGCGAAGUCCUUGGGACAGGGUGACAGGUGGUGCAUGGUUGUCGU